AUACGGAGGGGGCUAGCGUUGUUCGGAAUUACUGGGCGUAAAGCGCGCGUAGGCGGAUCGUUAAGUCAGGGGUGAAAGCCCGGAGCUCAACUCCGGAACUGCCCUUGAUACUGGCGAUCUCGAGUCCGGGAGAGGUGAGCGGAAUUCCUAGUGUAGAGGUGAAAUUCGUAGAUAUUAGGAGGAACACCAGUGGCGAAGGCGGCUCACUGGCCCGGUUCUGACGCUGAGGUGCGAAAGCGUGGGGAGCGAACAGGAUUAGAAACCCUAGUAGUCC
rnacentral:rRNA from 1 species